rnacentral:sRNA from 2 species
ACACCUAUCGCGCCGAGCUCCAUCCAUAGGUGGGGGACACCGACAUUUUGGAUGGAGGCGGGGGACCCACCGGUCCACCGCGAUCGGACUGGAGCCGCUUGCGGCUCCUUGGGGUGAAGCCGACGCCGGCUCCCAUGGGAGUACGGCGUUGGCCGGGUGGCCUCUCCAACCCGAACCCGACAGCUGACCUCGUAGGCGCGUCACGAGAGAGGAA